rnacentral:lncRNA from 1 species
CGCUGCGCUGCGCCCCGCCAGACUAGAGCGCUCCUGGCGCCCAGGCGGCUCCCGCUUCCUCGUCCCUCCCACCGGCGGCGGCGGCGGCGGCGGCAGGCCCCCUCCUGGGUGUGGAUAAUUUGGAAUCAGUUAAAAGGGAGUCUUGAUGCGUGGAUUUGGGUCCCCAAACUGCCACCUCCUUUGGCUCUUUCCUGACCCUGAAGAGAACCUGACCCGGAUGUACCAAGACCUUGCCGGAAGCCUCUAGCCAGAGCAGCUGGCCCUGGACUCCCACUGGGACACUGACUGGGAGAUUCUUAGAGCACUGAACGAUUGGCCCUCCACCUUCCCAGCGGCUCUUUGGGAAAAGAUGCCCAUUGCAUGAAGCGGGGCCUCUCAAGGAGGAGCCCCAGGUCACCUGUUGCAACAGAAUCGCCUGGGAGCUCCAAGGCCCAGCCCCAACCCAUACCCAAUGAGUCUGAAUCUCCAGGAGGUGCCCAGACAUCUGCACAUCCAGCAGGUUCCCAGCUUCACAUUGUAAGGCUCCACCUCUUUCCACCCCCAGGAUCUUCAGGGGCACAGUAAAGUGUCCACCAUGAGCUGCCUUCACCCCAGCCCUUGGGACCAUGUGGGGACCGGGUGGGAACUCUGGGCUCCUGUGACACUCAGACCAAGCCCCUCACAUUGCAGGGGCCCUGCUCAGCAUCCUGGAGGGGAGCAACCCUUCUGGGACCAGGAAAACCCAAUUUUGUCCUCCAUUUCUGUUCCUCCUGGGGGCUGUGAACCUCAGGCAGGGUCCCUCGGUCUGGGUCCCGUAUGAACUCCUCUUCACCUUUCUGGCCAGGUUAUCAGAAUGGGCAGGGUUGUAAGUGGUUCAGAGUUUGAGCUCUGGGGUCAGGCGGAGCCGAGUUCAGCCUUGGCACAUUCCCCUGCACCAGCCCGUGCCCUGGGGUGAACCCCUGGGCUCCCUUGGCCUCUUCUCAGCUCCUCACUGUGUCCCACCCCUCUGCCAUCUCCUCUUCUCCCCUCCAGCUAUGGGACGAUCUGUCCCGAGUUCACUUUCUUCUUUUCUAUUUCCUACUCCCAUGUCCCCAAACACAUCCCGCCCUACAGUUCCCCACCUCCAGGCCCUGCACGGGCCCUUUGCUCUGUUUGGCAUGCUCCUGCCCUCCUGCAUCCUGGCAGUCUAAACUUUAAGUGAGACCUGCAUGGAGCAGGGAGACUGGCCAGAAGUCUUAAUUAACUUCAAAAUUUAAAGCUGGAAGAGAGGGAUAUGAUUUGGCUCUGUGUCCCCACCCAAAUCUGAUGUCGAAUUGUAAUUCCCAAUGUUGGGGGAGGGACCUGGUGGGAGGUGAUUGGAUCGUGGGGGCAGAUUCCCCCCCUUCGUGUUCUUGUGAUAGUGAGUGAGUUCUCAUGAGAUCUGUUUGCUUAAAAGUGUGUAGCAUCUCCCCCUUUGCUCUCUCUCUCCUGCUGCUAUGUGAAGAUGUGGUUGCUUCCCCUUCACCUACCACCAUGGUUAUGUUUCCUGAGGCCUCCCAGCCAUGCUUCCUGCAUAGCCUGUGGAACUGUGAGUCAAUUAAAUCUGUUUUCUUCAUAAAUUACCCAGCCUCAGGUAGUUCUUUAUGGUAGUGUGAGAACAGACUAACACAGAGAGUUUUAAAUUCUUUAGUUGUAGGCCUUUGCCCAGGAUGGAGUAGCAGGGACUGUAUUUCCUUCCCCUUCAAAACUUUCAGACAGCUGGAGAGGAUAUAUGGAACAUCAGUUUCAAGGUACUGGACAUCAGGCAAUGAAGGAAAGAAAUU